UACGAAGGGGGCUAGCGUUGUUCGGAAUUACUGGGCGUAAAGCGCGUGUAGGCGGGUCUUUAAGUCAGGGGUGAAAUCCUGGAGCUCAACUCCAGAACUGCCUUUGAUACUGAAGAUCUUGAGUCCGGGAGAGGUGAGUGGAACUGCGAGUGUAGAGGUGAAAUUCGUAGAUAUUCGCAAGAACACCAGUGGCGAAGGCGGCUCACUGGCCCGGUACUGACGCUGAGGUGCGAAAGCGUGGGGAGCAAACAGG
rnacentral:rRNA from 1 species